UACGUAGGGUGCGAGCGUUAAUCGGAAUUACUGGGCGUAAAGCGUGCGCAGGCGGCGCGUUAAGACAGGUGUGAAAGCCCCGAGCUUAACUUGGGAAUUGCGCUUGUGACUGGCGUGCUGGAGUGUGGCAGAGGGAGGUGGAAUUCCGACGUGUAGCAGUGAAAUGCGUAGAGAUGAUGGAGGAACACCGAUGGCGAAGGCAGCCUCCUGGGCCAGCACUGACGCUCAUGCACGAAAGCGUGGGGAGCAAACAG
rnacentral:rRNA from 1 species